UACGAAGGGGGCGAGCGUUGUUCGGAUUUACUGGGCGUAAAGGGCGCGCAGGCGGCUUUGUUUGUCAGGCGUGAAAGCCCCGGGCUUAACCUGGGAACUGCGUUUGAUACGGCAGGGCUAGAGUUCGGGAGAGGAGAGUGGAAUUCCCAGUGUAGAGGUGAAAUUCGUAGAUAUUGGGAAGAACACCGGUGGCGAAGGCGGCUCUCUGGACCGAUACUGACGCUGAGGUGCGAAAGCGUGGGGAGCAAACAGG
rnacentral:rRNA from 1 species